rnacentral:tmRNA from 1 species
CCCCUUUCCAUUCGCGUCCGCGCUCCCUAUAUUGGGUGUGCUGCGCAAGCAGCUAUGACAAUAAACGAGCGUUGAAAUAAACCAAUCGGACCCGGGGGCGGUACCCGGCGCCUCCACCAUGAUCCGGCCAUCGGGCCACACCGGCCACACGGCCGGAUGAUGAUGGGGGCGAAACAGGAUUGACGAGGGUGUAAAGAGCGACUUUUUGUUCGGCAUUGUACCACCGUUAUCGGGCUAAACUUGUAGUUGCAAACGACAACUAUGCGGAAGCUCGUCUCGCUGCUUAAUUGCGGUGUGACACUUCAAACUAAGUCCUAGGGGGUCGCACUUCUAGGCGGGGUUCGGAGGUACCUGGCAACAGAAACCUCCAUU